rnacentral:rRNA from 1 species
AUGGCGACGGAGGCCAAGGAGGAGAUGGUGUUCUUCGACGUGGAGACGGCGGCGGCGCCGUCCCCCACCGACGCGUCCACCCAGUGGUGGCUGCUGGAGUUCGGGGCCAUCCUCGUCUGCCCGCGCCGCCUCGUCGAGCUCUCCAGCUACUCCACCCUCAUCCGCCCGGGGGACCCCGCCGCCGUCUCCAGGCGCUUCUCGGGCGACCCCGCCCUCUCCGCCGCGUUCCGCGCCGCGCCGCCCUUCGCCGACGUGGCCGACGACAUCUUCGCGCUCCUCCACGGCCGCGUCUGGGCGGGCCACAACAUCCGCCGCUUCGACUGCCACCGCGUCCGCGACGCCUUCGCCGCGGCCGGCCGCGCCGCCCCGGAGCCAGUGGCCGUCGUCGACUCGCUCAGCGUGCUGGCACAGGGGUUCGGCCGCCGCGCCGGGGACCUCAAGAUGGCCACCCUGGCCGCCUACUUCGGGAUCGGGAAGCAGACGCACCGCAGCCUCGACGACGUGCGCAUGAACCUCGAGGUGCUCAAGCACUGCGCCGCCGUGCUCAUGCUCGAGUCCAACCUCCCCGCUGGCGUGCUCCCUGGUGCCGACGACGGCGCAGUCACCAGGCGCAGGGCCGCGACGUCUUCCACCACGACGGCGACCGCGACUCCUCCUCGUCCUCCUCCUGCCCCCGCGGUUCUGAAGGUGAACGGCAGGUCGUCGUGCAAGAGGGACAGCACGGGGAAGGUGGUGACGGCGGCGAAGGGGGCGGCGACGGCGACCUCUACCGGUGGCCGGAGAGUGCGACGGCCCAUGACGACGACGCCGUUCAGCAUGGUCCUCCGGCACUCGAGGGCCAUCGUCAGAUGA